rnacentral:rRNA from 1 species
UACGUAGGGUGCAAGCGUUGUCCGGAAUUAUUGGGCGUAAAGAGCUCGUAGGCGGUUUGUUGCGUCGGCUGUGAAAUCCCGAGGCUCAACCUCGGGUCUGCAGUCGAUACGAGCAAACUAGAGUGUUGCAGGGGAGACUGGAAUUCCUGGUGUAGCGGUGAAAUGCGCAGAUAUCAGGAGGAACACCAGUGGCGAAGGCGGUGCUCUGGGCCGGAACUGACGCUGAUGCGCGAAAGCGUGGGGAGCAAACAGG